rnacentral:lncRNA from 10 species
CGUUGGGCUCGCGCGGGGGGCGGGGCGGCGCGCUGGAGGAGGGAGGGCGCGCGGGAACCCGGCCCGGCCGUACCCCGCCGGCCUGCCGACCCGGGUCCGGGGGCCCAGUUGGCGCCCGGACCAGCUCUCCGGUCUGCGUCCUGUAGAUGGGAAAACUGAGGCCUGAGAGGGCGCGAGGGCGGGGACGAGGCCGAGGACUCGGGUUCGAAUCUCGAGGACGCCAGUAGCCCGCUCUGAGGCCGCGUGGGGCUGGUGGAGGAGCCACCGGUCGGGCCCCCAAGACCGGCUGACGUGGGCCUCGCCUCGGGCGACUCCCGCCGGGCUAGUGGCUGGCCGUGUGGUGACCUUGGGCGAGUUACUUCGCACAGCCACCCAGGGGCCUCUUCUCCAACACGAUAGCACUGCACCCGGAGGAUAAAGAACCACUGAGGAUAUGAGUUAUUCUUCCUACAGUUGUACAGCUUGUGAACAGUAGAGCUGGGGUCCGAGCCAGGUCUCUGACUCUGCAGCCUACCCUUGUCCUGCUUGAACACACUGAGGAAGACAGGAAUAACAGGACAUGGGUCAGAAGGCUUGGCUUCUGCUCCAGCUUUGAAGUUGAAGGAUUAGGUGACAGCUAACACUUGAUAGUAUUUUAUGGUUUCAAAGUGAUAACCAUGUAAUAUUUUAAUUGAUUCUCAGCCCAUUUUGUAGAUGAGGAAACUGAGGCUCACAGAUCUGAUGACUUCCUAAUUGUGGCAAACUACCAGCUACACAGUAGCUGGGCUGGCUUCGAACCAGGUCUUUUGACCCCAGAGUCUGUGCAGCUCACAAAUAAAGCUGAUUCUUUGACAAGUUAAGCCUCUUCUCUUGGAUUCAUUUUUCCAGUCUGUGAAAAUGAGGGAUUGGAUUAGAUUAGUAGGCAAUCACUAGUUCCCAGGCCCUUUUAUUUAAAGAAAAAAAGGAGAACCCAUAGAGUCUGGCAACUUAAACUUUUGCUAAGUAUGAACACUUAAAAAAAAAAAGAACAUUUUGUCUUCAAAAAGCUAGGGGGAUAUUAUCUCAGUGUAGUGGG